GAGGGAGAGUAGAGGACAGGACAGGAGAGGCAUUCGCUCCCAUCAUCCUCAGCCACCCUCCUGCAACUUAAAGGUAAGAGGAGGGUGGCUGAUAAAUGAGGUGUGUGUGUGUAUGUAUGUGUCUAAAUGUAUGUCUGUCAGUAUGUGUAUAUGUCUCUCUGUGUGUAUGUAUAUAUCUAUCAGUAUGUAUGUCAGUAUGCAUGGAUGUCUGUGUAUGCGUGUAUGUCAGUAUUCAUGUAUGUAUAUAUGUCAGUAUGCAUUUAUGUCUGUGUGUAUGUAUUUAUCUAUCAGUAUGUAUGUGUGUAUGUAUGUCAGUAUGCAUGUAUGUCUGUGUGUAUGCGUGUAUGUCUGUGUGUAUGUCAGUAUG